UUUCCGUUGGUGAACCAGCGGAGGGAUCAUUACUGAGUGAGGGCCCCCGGCCCGACCUCCAACCCUUUGUGAAUCGUACUCGUUGCUUCGGGGGCGACCCUGCCGUCCGCGGCUGAGCGCCCCCGGGGUGAAUCAAACACUGCAUUCUCUGGGUCGGAGUAUUAGUAAAUCUAAUCAAAACUUUCAACAACGGAUCUCUUGGUUCUGGCAUCGAUGAAGAACGCAGC
rnacentral:misc_RNA from 1 species